ACGGUCCAGACUCCUACGGGAGGCAGCAGUAGGGAAUCUUCCGCAAUGGGCGAAAGCCUGACGGAGCAACGCCGCGUGAGUGAUGAAGGUCUUCGGAUCGUAAAACUCUGUUAUUAGGGAAGAACAUAUGUGUAAGUAACUGUGCACAUCUUGACGGUACCUAAUCAGAAAGCCACGGCUAACUACGUGCCAGCAGCCGCGGUAAUACGUAGGUGGCAAGCGUUAUCCGGAAUUAUUGGGCGUAAAGCGCGCGUAGGCGGUUUUUUAAGUCUGAUGUGAAAGCCCACGGCUCAACCGUGGAGGGUCAUUGGAAACUGGAAAACUUGAGUGCAGAAGAGGAAAGUGGAAUUCCAUGUGUAGCGGUGAAAUGCGCAGAGAUAUGGAGGAACACCAGUGGCGAAGGCGACUUUCUGGUCUGUAACUGACGCUGAUGUGCGAAAGCGUGGGGAUCAAACAGGAUUAGAUACCCUGGUAGUCCACGCCGUAAACGA
rnacentral:rRNA from 1 species